CUUCCACUGUCGGACACACAGUGCUUUCUGGCUUCUUUACGUUUGCCUAGUCUCGUCUUCCUGUCGUUAUUGUCGACAUUUUUGUUGCCUCCACUAUCAUUUGGCUUCAAGCAAUAACGUGAGGCUAUGUGUAAGUACGGUAGAAAGUGCCCAUGUCUGCUUCUCACCGGGGUCAGCUCCAGGGUGCUCCACUACAGACGAUCAGCUGGGGAUCAGUUCCAAGUUUAGCAUGAAAGUCAAGGGGUCCUUACACUUAAUAAUUAAAGAGCCCUAGAUUCAACUAUAGAAUCAAACUUCAAAGACAAGACCACCUGUUCUACACCAACAUUAGCUACUUGCAAGUACUGAAUAGAUCUGUUCUAAACCAACAUUAGGUACUUGCUAGUACUGAAUAGAUCUAUUCUACACCAACAUGAUAAGGCAUUGUAAUUUUAUAAUAAAACAAUGUUUGGGUCUCUUUAUGAAUAUACACAUAGAAUUUGUGUAUGUAUACUACCCAAA